GGAUUCCCCUAGUAACUGCGAGUGAAGCGGGAAGAGCUCAAAUUUAAAAUCUGGCGGUCUCAGGCCGUCCGAGUUGUAGUCUGGAGAAGUGCUUUCCGCGCUGGACCGUGUACAAGUCUCUUGGAACAGAGCGUCAUAGAGGGUGAGAAUCCCGUCUUUGACACGGACUACCAGUGCUUUGUGAUGCGCUCUCGAAGAGUCGAGUUGUUUGGGAAUGCAGCUCAAAAUGGGUGGUAAAUUCCAUCUAAAGCUAAAUAUUGGCGAGAGACCGAUAGCGAACAAGUACCGUGAGGGAAAGAUGAAAAGCACUUUGGAAAGAGAGUUAAACAGUACGUGAAAUUGCUGAAAGGGAAACGCUUGAAGUCAGUCGCGUCGUCCGGAACUCAGCCUCGCCUUCGCUUGGUGCAUUUUCCGGUCGACGGGCCAGCAUCGAUUUCGACUGUCGGAUAAAGGCUGGGGGAAUGUGGCACCUUCGGGUGUGUUAUAGCCUCCAGUCACAUACGACGGUUGGGAUCGAGGAACUCAGCACGCCUUUAUGGUCGGGGUUCGCCCACGUACGUGCUUAGGAUGCUGGCGUAAUGGCUUUAAACGACCCGUCUUGAAACACGGACCAAGGAGUCUAACAUGCCCGCGAGUGUUUGGGUGGUAAACCCGAGCGCGUAAUGAAAGUGAAAGUUGAGACUCCUGUCGUGGGAGGCAUCGACGCCCGGACCAGACCUUCUGUGACGGCUCCGCGGUAGAGCGUGUAUGUUGGGACCCGAAAGAUGGUGAACUAUGCCUGAAUAGGGUGAAGCCAGAGGAAACUCUGGUGGAGGCUCGUAGCGAUUCUGACGUGCAAAUCGAUCGUCAAAUUUGGGUAUA
rnacentral:rRNA from 1 species